GACGAACCGUGCGAACGUUGUUCGGAAUCACUGGGCUUAAAGGGCGCGUAGGCGGGCAGACAAGUCCGGGGUGAAAUCUUUCGGCUCAACCGGAAAAUUGCCUUGGAUACUGUCUGUCUCGAGGGAGGUAGGGGCAUGUGGAACUUCCGGUGGAGCGGUGAAAUGCGUUGAUAUCGGAAGGAACUCCGGUGGCGAAAGCGACGUGCUGGACCUCUUCUGACGCUGAGGCGCGAAAGCUAGGGGAGCAAACGGG
rnacentral:rRNA from 1 species